AAAAAAAGUAAACAAAGAUUUAGAGAUUCGUUGGCUUGAGGCCUCUUUUCAAAAGACUCUGGACCUUAGGGACUUUUCUCAGUCGCCAAAUGAGGUGUUGGAUACCUUGGGUGGACAGUGCUGUGCGACAGAGACGCAGUUACCAUCCUGGGUUGCCACGUACCUGCAGCACGGAGAACCAGCUGAAUCGUCUGGUGAGACUUGAUGAUGGAUGGUUGAUAACUGCUGAACUAUAGGACCCACAGACACUUGAUGAGAGAACCACUUUGAAGAUAAAUGGAAAGAUGAAGAUUAGAGGCUGAACGGGUCCUUGUGCCCAACUUCGUAGACCUUCAGGGAUCUACCAGAAGUCCCAGGACCUGUUGCACUUCCUCAGCGGGUGGUGUCAGCGUGUUAACAGAUUUCUUCGUUCCCCUCUUGAGCUCUUCCCGGCAGAGAUGUCAGGUCGAUUGCCGAGGACAAAGGUGCAGCAGUUUCUCCCGACCACUGUGCAUGGGCCCCCUUCUUGGGACGUAUCGAGGUCGAUGCAGUUACAGAGAACAGCGCGCUGGGAUUCUCACCGUUGGUUAAAAAAACAAAAAGACAAUCCAACCUGGUCUAAGCAACAAGAACACUGCCGUGUGCCUGGGCUGGGCUGGGGACACUCACACAACUCCGAGGCACUGUAACGACACCCAUUUUUCAGCCAUGGAAACUGAAGCGUGGUGAGGCUGCAUUUGGUGAGUCACCGUCUGAACUUCUCCCUGCCUGAUUCCAGAGCCCUUGCUCUCACCGGUCAUGGGGUAGGUGAGGGGUCUCUGUCAGUAUGAGAAUGGGGCAGAAAUACCCCUCUGAUCCGUUACACUGGGACCAUCAGAUUCAGCCAGGUAGGUGCUCUGACUCUGGCUGGCUGUGCCUGUGUUCUCUGGUGCACCAGGCGAUCUCAGAGGGACAGACUGGCUUCCUGUCCUUCCUGGACCAACUUGACAAAUCCCAUCAAAGGAAAUGCUCAUUUGACAGGUGCUAGGCCAAGGUCUCACCCCUGUCUGGGGGAACACAACACCCGGGUUUGGAUCUUACCACUGGUCUGAGGGCACAGAUUCAGUUAACUUUUGGCUCCCCCGUCAGCCUUUGGCCUCCGAUGCAUCCCUUCCAGGGAAGACAAGGGCUGAGAGGAUGGGCAGGGGCUUGGUUAACAGUAGAGCACCUGGCAGUUGUCCUGGGGUGGACCUGGGAGUCGGCACCCAACUGUGAUGGGUGAUUUUAUGCGUUGACUUGACUGGACUAAGAGAUGCUGACAGCUAGUAAAAUACUAUUUCUGAGGUGUCUGUGAGGGUGCUUCUGGAAAGAUUAACAUUUGAAUAGAUGAACUGAGUGGAGCAAACGGUCCUCCCCAGUGUGGGGAAGCAUCAUCCAGCCUGUUCCAGAACAGAACAGAAGGGCGAGUGCGUGCUCUCCCUGCUGGAGCUGCGACGUCUGUCUUCUGCCCUUGGACAUCGGCGCUCCUGGUUCACACUUUCAGGCUCAUAGCGGGACCUACACCGUCAGUCACCCCCCACCCCCCAGCGUGCUGAAUGACACCUUUCCUGGUCUGCCUGAGGGCAGACUAUGGGACCCAAUCUUGGUAACUGCACCAGCUGAUACCUGAUUCCUACAAUUUCCUCAUCUCUCUCUCUCUCUCUCUCCUAUUGGUUCUGUUUCUCUGGAGAACCCUAAUGCAGGUUUUGGCACUGAAAACGGUUCUAGAAGAACAGAAUUUGAGGGAUGAGUUUUCUGAAUUGGUUUGGGGGUUUCUGGAAUUUGCUCUCUAAUCUGACCAAUUUAAAGACACCAACAACUUGCUGUCUCCAGGAGUGAAGAGGACACUGCUGGCCCCUGCAUGAACUGUCACCGGGAUGUGAACAUACCUGCUCAGCAACCAUUUAUUAGGAGCAAGGAGCUAAGAGACCCUAUAUGAUACUUUCAAACAUUUUCAGAAAGCUAAGGAAUAUUAUGACAUUGGCCUGUUGCUCCUAACGUUGCUGGACAAAAGCAAAAUAAAAAGAUGCACUCAGGGAGCUGAAUUUCCAACUCAA